rnacentral:rRNA from 1 species
UGGGGAAUAUUGCACAAUGGGCGCAAGCCUGAUGCAGCCAUGCCGCGUGUGUGAAGAAGGCCUUCGGGUUGUAAAGCACUUUCAGCGGGGAGGAAGGCGAUAAGGUUAAUAACCUUGUCGAUUGACGUUACCGACAGAAGAAGCACCGGCUAACUCCGUGCCAGCAGCCGCGGUAAUACGGAGGGUGCAAGCGUUAAUCGGAAUUACUUGGCGUAAAGCGCACGCAGGCGGUUGAUUGAGUCAGAUGUGAAAUCCCCGGGCUUAACCCGGGAAUUGCAUCUGAUACUGGUCAGCUAGAGUCUUGUAGAGGGGGGUAGAAUUCCAUGUGUAGCGGUGAAAUGCGUAGAGAUGUGGAGGAAUACCGGUGGCGAAGGCGGCCCCCUGGACAAAGACUGACGCUCAGGUGCGAAAGCGUGGGGAGCAAACAGG